UACAGAGGGUGCAAGCGUUAAUCGGAAUUACUGGGCGUAAAGCGCGCGUAGGCGGUUACGUAAGUUGGAUGUGAAAUCCCCGGGCUCAACCUGGGAAUUGCAUUCAAAACUGCGUGGCUAGAGUGUGGGAGAGGAAGGUAGAAUUCCAGGUGUAGCGGUGAAAUGCGUAGAUAUCUGGAGGAAUACCGAUGGCGAAGGCAGCCUUCUGGCCUAACACUGACGCUGAGGUGCGAAAGCAUGGGGAGCAAACAGGAUUAGAUACCCUGGUAGUCCAUGCCGUAAACGAUGUCUACUAGCCGUUGGGGGACUUGAUCCUUUAGUGGCGCAGCUAACGCAUUAAGUAGACCGCCUGGGGAGUACGGUCGCAAGACUA
rnacentral:rRNA from 1 species